rnacentral:rRNA from 1 species
UAAACGAUAUCUAUAAUAUAUUUCUAUACAAAUAAACAAAAAGUAUAGGAAAGUAUAUAAAGAAACUAUUAGGGAUACCUGGCUAUAUAUUAAAGAGAGUCACCAAUAGGAAUUAAAAAUUUAAAUUGUGAAUAAGCCUAAACUUAGGCUUAAUUUUUUCACAUGUACUCUUAGAGAAAUUCAAUAAUAAACGAAGUGAAUCGAAAUAUCUUAGUAACUUCAGGAAAAGAAAUCAAACGAGAUUCUAUGAUUAGUGUGAAUGAAAGUAGAAAAGUCUAAUGCAAGUAAAACGGGCAAAACCUGUUUGAACAUAUAGGGGAACCUUCCUCUAAGACUAAAUAUAAUAUAUAAGCGAUAGCGUAAAAGUACGGUGAAGGAAAGGUUAGAAAUAGUAGUUUUAUAAGCAGCUCGAGUUAAAUUUAAAUAAAAAGUAAGAGCGUACCUUUGGCAUAAUGGGUCAGCGAGUUAAUAUUAGAUGCGAGCAGAAAUGCCCAGAUAAACCAAUUAUGAAAUAAUGAAUUAGUAUCUAAAAUUAGACCCGAAGCCUGGUGAUCUUACUACAGUCAGGGUUAUAAAAGCCCGAACGGUUUAUCGUUGUAUAGAUAUCCGAAGAACUGUGGUAAGUUAGUGAAAGACAACACUGACUAGGAUAGCUGGUUUUCUGCGAAACCUAUAUAAGUAGGUAAUUCAAACUACAUCAUAGCAGGUACAGAACUGUGAUCUCAGGCAACUACUAUUUUAAUAUUUUACUGGCUAUGCUUUUUAGUUAGCCAUAUGGAUAUGAGAUAAUUUUGCAUAUAUCGGGGGAUCGUGAUGAUUUUAUCGGUGAGUAUUCGCACUCGGAAGGGCAAUGAUGAAUAUUGAAUAAUCGGACAUAGUACGAUAAGGUUGUAUGUCUAAAGGGAAACAGCCCAGAACAAGAGUUAAGGUUCCAAAAUUAUUGUUAAGUGAAAUUAAGGAAGUUUCUAUCUAAUACGACUAGGAAAUUGACUUAGAAGCGGCUCAUUUUUUGAAGAUCUCGUAACAGAGCACUGGUUUAGUAAUUAUUUAAUUACUUUGAUAGUUGCACCGAAAAUUUAACGGAUCUAAACAAUAUACCGACACCUUGUCCAUUUAAUAUUCUAUUGAAAUAGUAUAUUUAAUGGGGUAGCAGAACGUUGGGUAAAUCUAGACUAUUCUUUUUAAGAACAUUAGUUGUAUAGAGAUUUAAUAAUUUAGCAGAACACAGUUGAAGUAAUUAUUGAUAUUUAUUUUAGCUGCUCAACUACGUUGAAGUUGUGUUAAAUUGGUUUCUUUAAUGAUAACCCAAGUGAGAAUGCUGACAUGAGUAACGAAAAGGGGAAACCCCGCCUAAAGCUUAUGGUUUUUAUAAAGUAACGGCCUCUAAGUUUACCAACCUAAGGGAUUAAACGAUGAGCAAAACUUGGUUACAAAGUAACAACCGAUUGCAUAACAGUGAAGAAGGUUCUGGAAAAACAGUAACGGUAGUUAUAAUAUGAGGGUUUAUUUUAUUAAAAUUAUGCAAUAAACUCUAAGUCUAAACUAGACUAUAAACCCAAAGCUUUUAAGUAUUAGAAAUAAUAUCUUAAAAUAGCCUCAAAUAGGCUAUAUUUAGCUUAAUAAUAAAUAUUCAUGUAAUAAUUACUAAACCCCACCAUAGGUUCCUAAAACCGUACCUAAAAACUACCACAAGUAAGCUAGUAGAGAAUACGAAGGCGUUUGAGUGAACAAUCAUUAAGGAACUCGGCAAACUAACUACCGUAACUUCGGGAUAAGGAGAGCCAUUCCUCCUAAUUAAUAUUAGGUAAAGAAUAGGAAGCAUGGAAUAGUGUUGUACGACUGUUUAAUUAAAACAAAGCACUCUGCAGUAAGAUAAUAAAUCAAAGUAUUGAGUGUGAUUUCUGCCCGAUGUCGGCUGGUUAACGGAUUUUCUAAGUUGACUAAUAUAAGCUUGGUUUUGAAGGAAACCCCGAUCAAUGGCGGCCUUACCUAUGAGGGUCCUAAGGUAGCGGAAUACCCUGGCCGUUAAAUGCGGUCUUGCAUGAAUGAUUUAACGAUACAACAGCUGUCUCAAUGAUUGGCUCAGUGAAAUUGGAAUAACUGUGCAGAUACAGUUUACCUCUAGUUAGACGAGAAGACCCUAUGCAGCUUUACUGUUACUAGUAAUUGGAUAUGAUAUUGUACGAUUUUUAGAGAAUAAGGUAGAAAGUAGAGGUCCAAAAUUGAAACACCUUUAUUUAUAUAAUCAUAUUGGUAGACAAAGUCUACGUCAGAGUAUAUGGCGUUAUCCUCCGUAGGAGGUGAUGUUAAAUAGGGUAGAAACUAACCUCCGCUCUCCAUAAAUACAAUGAUUAACCUUAAGGGAACAAUUGCUAGGAGGCAGUUUAUGCGGGGCACAGAUCCCAUAAAAAGUACCUGGGUGUAUCCAAAGUUAAUUUGGUAAAAUUGUCGUAAUUUUAAUAUAUUAUGACAGAAAAAUAUAGCAUUUUUCUACUCUGUAGAGAAAUUGGGUAUAUUUUGCUUUAUUUUUAGUUUGUUAUUUGGUAUAGCUUAAGCUAUAACCAAUCCAGCUAUAUAUCUAAUUAAGUUAGAACUAACAUUUUUAAAUCAAGUAAGAUUUUAACUAUAUGGAAAAUAGAUGUAAUUAAAACAUUAGUUUUAAAUUUUUAAUGUUUUUAGUUAUAUUAUUCAGUAUGCUAUUUAAAAAAAACAUAGGGUAAACCUUUAUGUGAAUAGUUAAGAACACUAAUAAUAUAAUUAUGUUUAUUACUUGUCAAGUUUAAUGGCUUAAUCUUGCUUUACUGUUUGACUUACACGUCUAUCAGUCGCGUAAGCGGGGCAUAUGAUCACAAGAUGCAGAAAGGAAAGGUCUUGGAUUUUUGAAAAAGCUACGCUA